AAAGUACUCCCUCCGUUCGGAACUACUUGUCAUCAAAAUGGAUGUGUCUAGAACUAAAAUACAUCUAGAUACAUCCAUUUCAAUGACAAGUAUUUUCGGAUGGAGGGAGUACAAG
rnacentral:pre_miRNA from 1 species